rnacentral:sRNA from 1 species
AGUUUUAUUACUUCCCGAGGAGCCAGUCUGUCUAGCACUCCACUAGGUGUUAACUAGAGUAUCCAGAUGAAUGGGUAGAUUCCCGGUAGAUGA